UACAGAGGGUGCAAGCGUUAAUCGGAUUUACUGGGCGUAAAGCGCGCGUAGGUGGCCAAUUAAGUCAAAUGUGAAAUCCCCGAGCCUAACUUGGGAAUUGCAUUCGAUACUGGUUAGCUAGAGUAUGGGAGAGGAUGGUAGAAUUCCAGGUGUAGCGGUGAAAUGCGUAGAGAUCUGGAGGAAUACCGAUGGCGAAGGCAGCCAUCUGGCCUAAUACUGACACUGAGGUGCGAAAGCAUGGGGAGCAAACAGGAUUAGAUACCCUAGUAGUCC
rnacentral:rRNA from 1 species